rnacentral:lncRNA from 1 species
GAGACGUAAAACAACUGCCAAAAGCGUCCUAAGAGAGACGCAGACCAUCGUCUAAAAGUGUCUUAAAGGAGACGUCUGCCAUCAUCCAAUAAGCAUCUUAAGGGAGACGCAGACCAUCGUCUAAGAAGUGUCAUAAGGGAGACGCAUGACAACUACUAAAAGCUUCCUAAGGGAGACGCAAGCUAUUGUCCAAAAGUGUCCUAAGGGAGACGCAGGACAACUGCCAAAAGAGUCCUAAGGGAGACGUAUGC